GGGUACAUGGUCUAGUGGUAUGAUUUUCGCUUCGCAUAGUUUUCGUCACGAGAUUAAGCGAUCCUGUGAAAGGUCCCCGGUUCAAUCCCGGGUGUAUCCA